CUGUGGAAGCUUAUUCUUCUUGCUGCCUCCUGGGGAGUUUCUAUUUUUCUCUUGUUCGUCUGGAGGACCGUCCUUGCUGUAAAGCCUCCAGUGUGUCAAGUUACUUUAAAGCAGAUGACUGAGCAGAGCAAGAAUUUGGAGAAUGAAAACAGAGAACUUGCAGAAAAUAUAUCUGCUUGGGUGCAGAAGACCAACAACACAAAGAAAUGCUUAGAGGAGGCCAUCAGGCAAAAGAAGCUGCCCUCUGAGAAAGCACUGAAGUUUAAGGUACGAACCUCUUGUUAGAUUACAUUCUGAAAAUAGAAAUGAAAGUAAUGAGUAAUUGUUACUAAUUCAAUGUUUCAUUGAAUGAGAGCUUGAAAGCCAUUGAGAAGGUGAAUGAAAAUUUGAAUGACAUCAUUCAGAUUGUUCGAGCUAAGCUGCAGGCAGUGAGGGACCAGAACGCCAAGAGCCCACACCUGGUAAGAGCUGCCACGUUGACCAUAGCAGGGCUUCUGAGGCUUUUUGUGCCCUGGGCGAGCUGCGUGCACCUGCUCCUCCUGCUUUUGACCACAGCAG